AGAGUUACGUUAGUUUUAACAAAGAAAAUUAGUUCUAGAGAUAGUGUAAUAUCCCUAAAAUUUAAACUUGCUAAUAAUAAUUAAUGGUUAAAUUUUUCCUUGAAUUAUAAGUUAUGACUGAAAUUUUGUUACUCUAUAUCCAAAUAAUGAUAAAAGAUAUACAGUUCUUUAAAUAAAUAUAUGUUGUAUAUAGUUAUGUAUUACAAGAGUUGCAAUAGUAACAAGUGAAGGUGAAAUCAAAUAAUUACAUUAGUAAAAGUAAUAAGAGAAAUAAUAAACAAAUUCAUUACUAAAGCUUUACAAAGUACGUCUAAUCAAAUAUCGGCUCAACUUGAUAGUAUAAAGAAUAAAAAAGGAAAAAAAAAGGAGAAAAAAGAAAGAAUAAUAAUAAAAAAAAAAAAAAAAAAACCAAAUGUCUACUCUAAUUUUAUUCCCCAUCGGUCAUCUUCAUUUUUCUUCACAUAAUAACUCAACAAUGGAGUUUUAAAUCAAGACAUAAUUUUUAUACACACAAAAACUCAUCUUCAUUUAAAAACUCCAAUCCAAACCAAACUCUCCUAAAUUUUCAAUUUUUCUACCAAUUUCAUCCACACAAUUCAGAAAAAUUAGUACUCAAAUAUGCCUAUAAAUAACCAUGAUUGCCUCCCUCAAAUCACCAUCAUAAGAAUUCCACCAUAUUCGCCGGAAACCGCCACCCACAACACCCCCUUAAGCUUACCUAUUUCCGCAAUACACACCACUCUCCCUGUUUCGAACCAAACCACCAGCCCACCACCCUUCGACCGACUACGGCAUCGCCGUACUUCUGCCACCACACGUACCACCCCACGUCGUCGCCUAUACUCGCCUCGUUUCUCUCCUCUCGUCCACCCUUUCUCUCUCUCUCUGUCUGUCUUUGUUUUCUUCUCCCUCCUCGUUGCGUCGUCGAGCCACCCCCAUCACUCUCGUGCCCUUUGCCGUAUUCACCACUGCCGCACCCGCGCCUCUCGACACUGCUGCUGGAGCUCCACCACGCCGUGCCCAGCCUUCCUUUCUUCCUCCCCAUGCUCAGUGAGCAGGAGGUAUGUCCAAUGCCUUUUUAUGUUUUAAGUUGUUAUUUGGGUUAAUAACAUCGUAGGCCCGAAUACCCAAACUAAACAUGCCUCUAAAUGGGCUCAAAUCUGAAUUUGUUUAGUAAGUACUUUAGCUACAUCAAUUCAUACUUCUACUUUGUUGGCUAAGUUUUAAUAAAAGAAUUUCGAUUAAUCAUGUUCGGUAAUAGUAAUUGUAAAUUUACUCUUGUAAUCUAAAAAUCGUAAAUAAAUAAUAGAAAUUUAAUGAUUAGCUUGGUUACGAUCAUUGAAAGUGUUUUUACAACUUAUUGAAGCUAAUUUACUUAUUAAAUUGAAUAAGGUACCUAGUAUUAUAAACAAAUGAUAAUUAUAAUCCUAUUAAUCAAGUAACAUAAGUAAAGUUAGUUAUAAAAACGUAAAUAAAGAAUAAUUCCAACAACGAUAUUCAAUAAUAAAAGUAAUACUAAUAACUAAAGGUCAUUUGUUAAAAUAAAUCGAAUAUUUAUAUUUUUGUUGCGUCAUUUCAUGGUUAGAUUAAAAGGAAAGGAUAUUAUAGCCUCCUUCAGCUUUCAAGGUUAUUAAAUAGGAAUCGAGGUAACAUCUAUUGCUAACACCCGCGAUCCCCUACAAAUGUGUUUGCGAAAUCAUUUUUGAAGGUUUUUGUGACGUGAUCUUCAUUAUGGAUUGUGUGACACUUAUAUUGUUUAUGUAUGAGUUUUUCAUAUAUGUACACAUAUGUUAUGAACUUAUGAGUUAUUGAUGCUCAAGUAUAAUUCACAAAAGAUCUAAGGCUUAUGUCGAUGAAUGCUAAAUAAACGAAACAUGAUAAAUGAAAGUGAAAAGAGGUUCUACCAGUAUAAUGUUACGCUUAUUAUCUACUUUAUAGUCGUGCACAUACCUUCGCACUCGUCGCAGACCUAACAAGGAAGAGCGCUCCUUGAGGGGUACCACAAGUUAUCUCCCUACUCUAUUUUUGUGUGAGUGGUGUAUCCAACAAGGAGAGUGCUCCCUGAGGAUCAUCGCAAGGUGGGAGACGUCCCGCAAGUCUAUACUCGUCAGUUGCCAUUUUAAAAGAUGAAAAGAUAAUGGAAACUUAUGAAGCAUCAAGAUGCUACUUAUAAUUGUUUACUUUGCUAUUAUUUCAUUAUGGAUUUGAAAUAUGUUUUACUAUAUUCUCUUCUCCCUAUUUGCAAAUAAAAUGAAUACUACUACAAAAAAGGGCAAACAUAACACCCCUAAAUUAACUCUUAUUUAAGCAACCGUUAUGUAAAGUCUAAAUUUAACGUUUUAAUCGUAGAACUGUUACCUUAGGUUGUAUUGAUAAUAUAUCACUUAACACUUAUCUUAGUGUGUGUUAUCUUUGCUAUGAAAUUAUUUUGUAAUGCUAUAAUUUUUUUUAUGAGAAUAAUAAAAAUUGUUAUCUUUGCUUAUUAUUAAUAAUAAUAAAUCUGUCAAAAUAAUUAAAUUAAAAAAAAUAAACUGUCAUAGCUAGAAAUUAGGAGCACUUACUAUGUAUCGUUGAAUUUUUUAUCUAAACCGCCCUUUUUAACUUCUAAGUUGUUGUUCCCAUGUCCCCCAUUACUUUGGAAGAAGUAAUUGACGGUAAAAGCAAACCAAAGAAAAAACGAAGAGAGAAAAAAACGAAGGAAGGAGAAAAAGUGAGAAACCCUAAGCCAUCGCUGCCCCGCCGAACCCGGCCAUUGUCGUCGCCCCCGUCGAACCCAGGCCCUCCGUUGCUGUUGCCCCGUCGGAAGCUAUCUAACCCAAUGCCAAGUUCUACUCACGUAUCAUCCUCUGGGACUAAUAAUCUAAUUAUCAUCACCACUGCUGCUAGAGAGAGACGAAAAUGAACAAGAAGAAGAUAUUUAAACUUGCUAAGGGUUUUCAAGGUAGAGCAAAAAAUUGUACAAGGAUAGCAACAGAGAGAGUGGAGAAGGCACUUCGGUACUCUUAUAGAGAUCGCUGAACCAAGAAGCGUGAUGUGCGCUCUCUUCGGAUUGAACGCAUCAGUGCCGGUACCCGUCAACAUGGUGUAAAUUAUGGUAACUUCAUGUGUGGGCUGAUAAAGGAGAAUAUUCAGUUAAACAGAAAGGUAUUGUCUGAACUUGCGAUGCACGAGCCUUAUAGUUUCAAAGCACUAGUGGAUGUAUCGCGCAAUGCUUUUCCAGGAAACAAAAUAGAACCCAAAAAGGUUAAUGGCAAAGGGGAGAAAGCGUGACAUGGUACCUCAAGAGAAUGCAACCUCGUAUAUCGAGUAUGAUGAUGAUGGUAAUAGUACUAUCAAGGCACUGGUCCAACCUAUUCUCAGGAGAAAAUUAAUGAACUCAGGGAGUUGUGGAUUACAUAUGUCGGAGAUCAACACGAAGCACAAAUGAUGAAUGAGUUCUAACUUUCCGCCUAAUUUUUUUAACCUUAAUCCACUUUUGGACAUACAUUAUAUUUUUUGAUUUGGAUAUUAAUAUCAUGUGGAUGUGGUUAUAGGAUAGAUUUGAUCUUGUUUAUGAUAUAGAUCAAUAUUGAUAUGUAUAUAUAGUAGUUUUUUUAGAAGUUUAGAUUUAUGAAUAUUAGUUGAAUUAUUUUGCAAUGUAAAGAAUUUUGGAAGUUUGGAAUAUCAAUUCAAUUUAUUGGUUA